AUUCCAUCAAUCAUCUUCAUAACAGGUUGUAAUGUGAACCAAGGAAAAUUUUCGAAAAGAGAAAAUCUAUGGGUAUUUCCAUCAUUCAUUCUCAUAACUGGUUAUAAGGGAAAUGGCGAUAUGAAUAUAGGAACCCACAAUGUGUUGAGAAAAAUAAAGUGUAUAGGAUAAAAACGUAAUAAAAAUGCGGUAAAUUUAGGAUAAUAUAAUCUGAUGUAACAGUGCAGAAGAAAUCAAA